AUGACUCUCAUCACCAUCCUCAUCUGGACGCUGGCCUGCUGCUGUUUUACAGGAUGCAGCGGUCAGGUGACUGUGACUCAGCCUCCAGUAGUGACAUCUACUCCAGGAUCCACCGUCUCUCUCACCUGUAAGACCAGCCGAGCUGUUUACAGUGACAGUAGUUAUGGUGAUCGUAUGUACUGGUAUCAACAGAAAUCUGGACAGCCUCCAAAGCUUCUAAUAAAACUUGUGAGCACACGUGUAUCAGGAACAGCAGCUCGGUUUAGUGGCAGUGGAAGCAGCUCUGACUUCACUUUGACCAUCAGUGGAGUUCUGACUGAAGACGCAGCAGUUUAUUACUGUCAGAGUUACCACUACAUAAACAGUGCUGCUGUGUUCACACAGUGA